rnacentral:rRNA from 1 species
UACGUAGGUGGCAAGCGUUAUCCGGAAUUAUUGGGCGUAAAGCGCACGCAGGUGGCUUCUUAAGUCUGACGUGAAAGCUCCUGGCUUAACUGGGAGAGGUCGUUGGGUACUGGGAGGCUUGAGGCAAGGAGAGGGGCGUAGAAUUCCCGGUGUAGUGGUGGAAUGCGUAGAUAUCGGGGGGAAUACCAGAGGCGCAAGCGGCGCCCUGGCCUUGGCCUGACGCUCAGGUGCGAAAGCGUGGGGAGCGAACGGG